AGCCAACGCUGGCGGCAGGCCUAACACAUGCAAGUCGAACGAACCUUUCGGGGUUAGUGGCGGACGGGUGAGUAACACGUGGGAACGUGCCUUUAGGUUCGGAAUAACUCAGGGAAACUUGUGCUAAUACCGAAUGUGCCCUUCGGGGGAAAGAUUAAUCGCCUUUAGAGCGGCCCGCGUCUGAUUAGCUAGUUGGUUGAGGUAAUGGCUCACCAAGGCGACGAUCAGUAGCUGGUCUGAGAGGAUGAUCAGCCACAUUGGGACUGAGACACGGCCCAAACUCCUACGGGAGGCAGCAGUGGGGAAUCUUGCGCAAUGGGCGAAAGCCUGACGCAGCCAUGCCGCGUGAAUGAUGAAGGUCUUAGGAUUGUAAAAUUCUUUCACCGGGGACGAUAAUGACGGUACCCGGAGAAGAAGCCCCGGCUAACUUCGUG
rnacentral:rRNA from 1 species